GGAAACUUGUGCUAAUACUGGAUAAGUCUUUACGGAGAAAGCUUUAUGCACCAUUGGAUGAGCCUGCACUUGAUUAGUUUGUUGGUGGGGUAAUGGCCUACCAAGACUUUGAUCAAUAGCUGAUUUGAGAGGAUGAUCAGCCACAUUGGGACUGAGACACGGCCCAAACUCCUACGGGAGGCAGCAGUGGGGAAUCUUGCACAAUGGAGGAAACUCUGAUGCAGCGAUGCCGCGUGAGUGAAGAAGGCCUUUGGGUUGUAAAGCUCUUUCGUCGGGGAAGAAAAUGACUGUACCCGAAUAAGAAG
rnacentral:rRNA from 1 species